GACGAACGCUGGCGGCGUGCUUAACACAUGCAAGUCGAGCGAGGCCCCUCCUUCGGGAGGGUGUCCUAGCGGCGAACGGGUGAGUAACACGUGGGCAACCUGCCCCCGGCUCUGGGAUAACUCCAAGAAAUUGGGGCUAAUACCGGAUAUGACCGCUGACCGCAUGGUCUGGUGGUGGAAAGAUUUAUCGGCUGGGGAUGGGCCCGCGGCCUAUCAGCUUGUUGGUGGGGUAGUGGCCUACCAAGGCGACGACGGGUAGCCGGCCUGAGAGGGUGACCGGCCACACUGGGACUGGGACACGGGCCAGACUCCUACGGGAGGCGGCAGUGGGGAAUAGUGCGCAAUGGGCGGAAGCCUGACGCAACGACGCCGCGUGGGGGAUGACGGCCUUCGGGUUGUAAACCUCUUUCAGCAGGGACGAAGCGAAAGUGACGGUACCUGCAGAAGAAGCACCGGCCAACUACGUGCCAGCAGCCGCCGUAA
rnacentral:rRNA from 1 species